GGUGGUUCUCUGGUGAUGUACUCCGGAAUCGGGCUCCCCCCUCUCUGGUUCUGGGUGCGUCACCCAAGAACUGCA
rfam:Myotis brandtii contig313865, whole genome shotgun sequence.